GUUUAUAGAAAUGUUGGGCAACAUGCGCUCAUGGGCUCUCAUGAAGUGUUUGAUUACAUUUCCGAUCACAUUUGCCUUGAUGUCAGAGUGAUUAGAGGUCCAAUAGAGUGAUGAGUACCAGGCAAUUAGCAAGUUUGGUAGGCUACUAAUGACCAUCAGCAGCAUCAGAGCUUGGAGAAGCCUAAUUACCGUGACUCGUGACAGCCGGUAUACAGUCACCACAACAACCCUAGUUGUGGGUUUCGAUUCCCGCUGGGGCACCCCUUUACGUAAAAUGUAUGCAGGCAUGACGCAUCGUUCAAGUUGGCCCUGGAGAAGAAGACAAUAGAGCGAGAAACAUUGCUAACUCUAGCAGCUAUGGCUGGUCUGGUGGACGAUGAAGAUGCUACUUGACCAUGGAGUGUCUCCGCAUGGUUUUAUUUGGUCUCCCAAGUUUUCUGAGCAAAAAAAUUCCCUCGACCAUCCGCUCAAUAAAGAAAUCGUCCUGCGGCUGAAUCUAGUCGAUGAUCCCUGGUAUAAAGUCUGUGUCCUUGGCAUCACAACAAGUAUCAUUGUUGGAAUGACUCUUAGUAUAUUAUUCCACUGCUAUUCAACAUUUUUUGUGAUUUUUCCCGGUCAGCUGUUAG
rnacentral:lncRNA from 1 species